rnacentral:rRNA from 1 species
GAUGAACGCUAGCUACAGGCUUAACACAUGCAAGUCGAGGGGUAACGAGAGGAAAGCUUGCUUUCCUUGUCGACGACCGGCGCACGGGUGAGUAACGCGUAUCCAACCUGCCCCCAACUAGGGAAUAACCUUGCGAAAGUAAGACUAAUACCCUAUAAUUUCCUCAGAUGUCAUCUGACGAGGAAUAAAGAUUUAUCGGUGGUGGAUGGGGAUGCGUCUGAUUAGCUUGUUGGCGGGGUAACGGCCCACCAAGGCAACGAUCAGUAGGGGUUCUGAGAGGAAGGUCCCCCACAUUGGAGCUGAGACACGGUCCAAACUCCUACGGGAGGCAGCAGUGAGGAAUAUUGGGCAAUGGGCGGAAGCCUGAACCAGCCAAGUAGCGUGCAGGAUGACGGCCCUAUGGGUUGUAAACUGCUUUUAUACAGGAAUAAAGUUAGCCACGUGUGGUUAUUUGUAGGUACCGUAUGAAUAAGGACCGGCUAAUUCCGUGCCAGCCGCCGCCGUAA